GAUGUUUUGCGCUCUUCGUUUCUAAGUGUCGGUCGAACGUGUCGGUGCACUUCCUAUGAGGUAGGUGUCGCAUUAGUCGUGUGUCUUUAGUCGUUGUCGUCGCGUUGUAAACGGGAAUUCCGCUAAAGCCGAAUAAUCGCAGUUAAACAAUAACAGAAAAAACUUCUGAAGUAAUAUAAACCACACAUACAAAAAAACAUACAUACAUACAUGUGUACUCACACAUAAUAAAAAGCUAACGGCCGCGGCAGCAAUUGUGCGAAAGAUUUGGUGGCAAGUGGCCAAAGUUUUGAGGCGCUUUUAAAAAACCAGAGAAAAACUUGAUUUAUGCGUAAGACCCGUGCCCGUACAACAAUAAAUCAAUAACUGCAUGAAAAAAUAGAAACAAAAUUCAACGAACAACCAAACUAUGAAGUUAUAAAGUGUUGAUAAGUGAAACAUAAAGUAACGAACAACAUACCACUACCACCACCACCAUCACCACCACAAGGAGGCACACAAACAACAGCAACAACAUGUGAAACAGACUUCGGUACGAGACGCCCCCGUGUUGCUCCCCUCAGCUGCUGCAUUGAACCAACAUGGCCGCCAGGAUGCGCAACUAGAGCUGAGGCGACGAAGCGAAAAAAACUUUUAAAUGCUUUUAUUUAAAGUUUGGCCAUUGUGGAUUGUAUAUCGCACCAUGCACUUUGCUCAUCGCUUUGCUUGUGCGUUGGCCUCAAUUAGGCAACAAAAACUACAACAACAACAACAACAUCAGCCUUAAGCUAGCCCACCUGCUAUCAGGGAACAGGAGGACAACCAACGAAACCAAAUUUAAAAAUAAAAAGGAGUAGUAGCAGCAGCAAACACUU